AUGAUACUUCCUCCGUCCGAAAAAACUUGUCCCUCAAAUGAAUGUAUCUAGCAUCAAGUUAGUGCUAGAUACAUCCAUUUGAGGAACAGACUUGGGACAACUUUUUUCGGGCGGAGAGAGUAUAUG
rfam:Triticum aestivum genome assembly, contig: Triticum_aestivum_CS42_TGACv1_scaffold_500463_6BL